AGUGGACGCUGGCGGUAGGCCUAACACAUGCAAGUCGAACGGCAGCACAGUAAGAGCUUGCUCUUACGGGUGGCGAGUGGCGGACGGGUGAGGAAUACAUCGGAAUCUACUUUUUCGUGGGGGAUAGCGUAGGGAAACUUACGCUAAUACCGCAUACGACCUACGGGUGAAAGCAGGGGAUCUUCGGACCUUGCGCGAUUGAAUGAGCCGAUGUCGGAUUAGCUAGUUGGCGGGGUAAAGGCCCACCAAGGCGACGAUCCGUAGCUGGUCUGAGAGGAUGAUCAGCCACACUGGAACUGAGACACGGUCCAGACUCCUACGGGAGGCAGCAGUGGGGAAUAUUGGACAAUGGGCGCAAGCCUGAUCCAGCCAUACCGCGUGGGUGAAGAAGGCCUUCGGGUUGUAAAGCCCUUUUGUUGGGAAAGAAAAGCAGCAGGUUAAUACCCCGCUGUUCUGACGGUACCCAAAGAAUAAGCACCGGCUAACUUCGUG
rnacentral:rRNA from 1 species